rnacentral:rRNA from 1 species
GUUGAACGCUGGCGGCGUGCCUAAUACAUGCAAGUCGAGCGAACAGAUGAGGAGCUUGCUCCUCUGCCGUUAGCGGCGGACGGGUGAGUAACACGUGGAUAACCUACCUAUAAGACUGGGAUAACUUCGGGAAACCGGAGCUAAUACCGGACAAUAUAUUGAACCGCAUGGUUCAAUAGUGAAAGACGGUUUUGCUGUCACUUAUAGAUGGAUCCGCGCCGCAUUAGCUAGUUGGUAAGGUAACGGCUUACCAAGGCAACGAUGCGUAGCCGACCUGAGAGGGUGGUCGGCCACACUGGAACUGAGACGCGGUCCAGACUCCUACGGGAGGCAGCAGUAGGGAAUCUUCCGCAAGGGGCGAAAGCCUGACGCAGCAACGCCGCGUGAGUGAUGAAGGUCUUCGGAUCGUAAAACUCUGUUAUUAGGGAAGACCAAAUGUGUAAGUAGCUAUGCACGGCUUGACGGUACCUAGUCAGAAAGCCCCGGCUAACUACGUG